rnacentral:rRNA from 1 species
AUUGAACGCUGGCGGCAGGCUUAACACAUGCAAGUCGAGCGGAGUGAUGGUGCUUGCACUAUCACUUAGCGGCGGACGGGUGAGUAAUGCUUAGGAAUCUGCCAUUUAGUGGGGGACAACAUUCCGAAAGGAAUGCUAAUACCGCAUACGUCCUACGGGAGAAAGCAGGGGAUCUUCGGACCUUGCGCUAAAUGAUGAGCCUAAGUCGGAUUAGCUAGUUGGUGGGGUAAAGGCCUACCAAGGCGACGAUCUGUAGCGGGUCUGAGAGGAUGAUCCGCCACACUGGGACUGAGACACGGCCCAGACUCCUACGGGAGGCUGCAGUCGAGGAUAUUUAGCAAUGGACGAAAGUCUGACUAUGUGACGCCGCGUGAGGGAUGAAGGCCUUCGGGUUGUAAACCUCUUUCGAUGGGGAAGAAAAUUCCGGUUAACUCCCGGAACUGACGGUACCCAGAGAAGAAGCCAUGGCCAACUCUGUGCCAGCAGCCGCCGUAAUAC